CCUGCAUCUGCCAACAAGACUGGAAGCAGACUGGUUUGCAGGUCGGCGCAUGGACAUUUUCCCAGGAACGGACAGAGACAGCAAAGUUUGACGGUCUGGAAAGCAGAAAUCAGUGGGGCUGACUGCUUGGGAGGUAAGUUCUGGGGACGUGGUACAGGGUGAGGAGCAGGUAUCAGUGCUAGUUGCGACCCCUCCGUGUCUCCCCCUCCCAAUGCCAUUCUGAAGCUCCCCAGGAAGAAGCUAGGAGGGGAAAUAAAUUGAGUGGGGGUGGGGUUUCCCAAGAAUCGGAGGAACCGAGAACGAACAGGGGUGGGGGAACCGGGAAAGAGAGAGAGGAAAAUCAAGUUUUCUUCAGCACGAGGGACAGCUCUCCCCCGACCAAAGGAGGAGAAUGCUAUUUAUUUCAGCACCAAGUAUACGGACAGCGCCUCUCGGGGGUUCCAAGGAGAGAACCGCGAUCUGUUUCAGCACCGGGGCUCAGGACAGUUCCCAGAGGGCUCCGUUUCGGCGCCGGAACCCUGGACAACUCCCCCAGACGGAGUCUUGCUCUGUUGCCCAGGCUGGGG